CGAACGCUGGCGGCGUGCCUAAUACAUGCAAGUAGAACGCACAGUUUAUACCGUAGCUUGCUACACCAUAAACUGUGAGUUGCGAACGGGUGAGUAACGCGUAGGUAACCUGCCUGGUAGCGGGGGAUAACUAUUGGAAACGAUAGCUAAUACCGCAUAAUAUUGAUUAUUGCAUGAUAAUUGAUUGAAAGAUGCUAUUGCAUCACUACCAGAUGGACCUGCGUUGUAUUAGCUAGUAGGUGAGGUAACGGCUCACCUAGGCGACGAUACAUAGCCGACCUGAGAGGGUGAUCGGCCACACUGGGACUGAGACACGGCCCAGACUCCUACGGGAGGCAGCAGUAGGGAAUCUUCGGCAAUGGACGAAAGUCUGACCGAGCAACGCCGCGUGAGUGAAGAAGGUUUUCGGAUCGUAAAGCUCUGUUGUAAGAGAAGAACGGGUGUGAGAGUGGAAAGUUCACACUGUGACGGUAGCUUACCAGAAAGGGACGGCUAACUACGUG
rnacentral:rRNA from 1 species